GAACUGCACAAUAAAGUCCCAGCAUUAAAAUUUGCAUCCACUGCACUUUGCCAUUGUGACACUAAGUACCUUUGCAGUUAGCCAGCUGGCUGCCAAAGCUACAUGUGGUGAUUUGCUGAAAUUAAUUGAUGUGCUACUCAGAAGUAAAUGACAUUUAACGACAUUCUAAUGCAUCAAUAAAGGGACAGCUCUCAACUGCUGAACAAAAGAGGUACAAGAAAACAUGCACCAUUCCAUACUGGAAACCAACAUAAUAACAUAUGCAUUACACUUUAUCCCUCCAAGAGAGCAUGGACUUAGAAUUUGUGAUGCAGCACAAGAUGGAUCAUGUCACUGUAAUGUAACCAUGUGUGACCCCAAAUCAAAACUCCCACACUCAUGCUGUACAGUGAGUAUUUAUCACCAUAUCUGCAUAAUUUAGCUGCUCCAUAAGGAGUUGCUAUUGGUAAGAUUAUCCAAAGACAGUGAUUUAUACUGGGAAAAACACUUCGCAGGUGCCUUUCAAUGCACCUCACCUGGAUGCAUCAGACAGGACAUAUGAUACCACAGGUGGAUCUGCUCCUCUAGCUGUGUUCUAGACAUUUCAGUCACUGGACUUGGGAUAGGACACAUGUACAAGCUGGGACUGAAAAACACCCCUCAAUGCCCCUGGUGCCCCACACAGCUAGACACUUCAGAACACUUGCUGCUACACUGUCCUUGCCACCACUCCUACUGCACUGCUCUCCUCCAUUCACUAACAUCUCUCCAGCUCCACAGAUCAACAGUAGCAGACCUCCUGGGUGGUUCCCAAGAUCCUGACCUGGCCUUCAAGACACUCAAGCAAACUAAAGACUUCCUCCAGAAGACAAGACCAGAAUCUAACCAGAUAACCUAUAUUUGCUACCAGCACCCUAGGGGUACUAGAUGCUGUAACACCACAGCCUGCAUGACCUUGUCAAAUCCUUAACAUGAACAAGAGCCAGGCUGGAUCUAAUCUCGCACAUCUCUUGAAUAAUGAAGAUACUUGCAGAUGGCCACAGCAUACAACAAACUUAUCUCUGCCCCAACACCAUCCAGUACAUUACCCCUUCACACACGUUGUAUAGCAACACAAAAUUUUUUGCCCCCUCGCCUUCAUUCCAUACAUUCCUUUUUAACCAGAGACCUCAUUGGUUUUGGUAGAGUUCAUCUCUCCCUAUCUUUUAUAUUCUAAAAAAAAUAAAUAAAUAAAUACUCGCAUUGUGGUUCUUCAAACACUUAAACACUUUAUUAUGCUUGGCAUGUAUACAUAUAUCAUUACAUACAAUUUUUAAUAGGUCAAACAGCCCUUUACAAGCAGGAGCCUUAUGGGCAAUAGCAAGUAGAAAUUUUAAUUUUGGAAAUAACAUAUUUUAUAAAAUAGUAGAAGAGGUAAUACAAGCUAAUAGGAACUAUUAUUAUUAAUAUAAAUCAAACUAAUGAUACAGCACAAUGAUGGUAACUCUAGUAAUGUAAUAUAAUAAUACUAUAAUAUCUAUGAUAAUAGUGUAGAAAUGUAUCAGUAUUUAUUAUCUGUAGAUUGCAAUGUGUCUCUUAAAUUUGUCUUUAAAAGACAAUAGGCUGGGUGAGUGUUUGGUAUGACAUCGGUAUGUUAUUCUAUGUUUUAGGUCCAAGAUACAUUAAUGAAUGUUUGUAUAAUGUUAAAUUGGGUCUGGGUAUAUUUAGUGAGUACUGGUUCCUGGUUAGGUAAUUGUGCACAGGUUGUGUAUUGUAGUUACUAGAAUUUAUUCUUUGGUACAUGUAAGAUGAAAUACUGAGUUUUGAUAAGCCAGCAAGGUUUAAGAUAUUUAAUUGUUUAAAUAGUGGGGGUGUAUGUUCACUGUAAUCACUGUUGGUUAUUAUUCUGAUAAUUCUUUUAUGUAGAACAUUAAGCCUGUACAGAUGACAAGAGUAAGUUUGGGACCAAAUAGGAUUACAGUAGUUGAGAUGAGGAUAUAUGUGGGCAUAAUACAAACAUUUAAGAACAUUAUUUGUUUAGUUGAGUGUCAUUGAAGAAGAGGGGAUAGUUGUCUGGAAGGUUGUGUCGAGUUGAUAGAUUGAGAAAUUGAAUUUUUGAGGCAUUUAACAAUACCAAGUUUGCCCUACCCCAAUCAGAAAUUCCAGAAAGAUUAGAAGUCAGGUGUUCUGUGGCCUCCCUGUGUGAAAUGUUUACUUCCUGAAGGGCUGGAUGUCUAUGAAUAGACGUGCAAAAGUGCAUCAGCAUAGGAAUGGAUAGGACGAGAAGUUUGGUUUAAGAGGUCAUUGAUGAAUAAUAAGAAGAGAGUGGAUGACAGGACAGAACCCUGAGGAACACCACUGUUAAUAGAUUUAGGAGAAGAACAGUGACCGUCUACCACAGCAGCAAUGGAACAGUCAGAAAGGAAACUUGAGAUGAAGUUACAGAGAGAAGGAUAGAAGCCGUAGGAGGGUAGUUUGGAAAUCAAAGCUUUGUGCCAGACUCUAUCAAAAGCUUUUGAUAUAUCCAAGGCAACAGCAAAAGUGUCACCAAAAUGUCUAAAAGAGGAUGACCAAGACUCAGUAAGGAAAGCCAGAAGAUCACCAGUAGAGCAGCCUUGACGAAACCCAUACUGGCGAUCAGAUAGAAGGUUGUGAAGUGUUAGAUGUUAAAGAAUCUUCCUGUUGAGGAUAGAUUAAAAACUUUAGAUAGGCAGGAAAUUAAAGCAAUAGGAUGGUAGUUUGAGAGAUUAGAACGGUCAUCCUUUUUAGGAACAAACAGGCUGAAUGUAGGCAAACUUCCAGCAAGAAGGAAAGGUAGAUGUUGACAGACAGCUAAAAGAGUUUGACUAAACAAGGUGCAAGCAUGGAGGCACAGUUUCGGAGAACAAUAGGAACUACCCCAUCAGGUCCAUCAGCCUUCCAAGGGUUUAGGCCAGCGAGGGCAUGGAAAACAUCAUUGUGAAGAAUUUUAAUAGGUAGAAUGAAAUACCUAGUCAGAGGGUGGACGAAAGGGAGGAACAACCCCAGAAUCAUCCAAGGUAGUUUUUAGCAAAGAUUUGAGCGAAGAGUUCAGCUUUAAAAAUAGAUGUGAUAGCAGUGGUGCCAUCUGGUUGAAAUAAAGGAGGGAAAGAAGAAGAAGCAAAGUUAUUGGAGAUAUCUUUGGCUAGAUGCCAGAAGUCAUGAGGGGAGUUUGAUCUUGGAAGAUUUUGACACUUUCUAUUAAUGAAGGAGUUUUUGGCUGGUUGGAGAACAGACUUUGCAUGGUUCCAGGCAGAAAUAUAAAGUGCAUGAGAUUCUUGUGAUGGAAGGCUUAAGUACCUUUUAUGGGCCACCUCUUUUAUCAUGUAUAGCACGAGAACAAGCUGUGUUAAACCAAGGUCUGGGAGGUUUAGGUUGAGAAAAAGAGUGAGGAAUGUUUCUCCAUGCCAGACACUAUCACCUCUGUUAUGCGCUUGGCACACAAAGACGGGUCUCUGACACAGAACCAGUAGUCAUUCCAAGGAAAAUCAGCAAAAUAUUUCCUCAGGUCCCCCCAACUGGCAGAGGGAAAACGCCAGAGGCACCUUCGCUUAGGGGGCUCCUGAGGAGGGAUUGGAAUGAUAGGACAAUAUACAGAUAUGAGAUUGUGAUCGAAGGACCCCAAUGGAGAAGAGAUGAUGACAACAUAAGUAGAAGGACUAGAGGUCAGGAAAAGGUGAAGAAUGUUGGACAGUCAGGAAUACAAGUAGGGUGUUGCACCAAUUGCUCUAGGUCGUGGAGGAUAGCAAAGUUGAAGGCUAGUUCACCAGGAUAGUCAGUAAAGGGAGAGGAAAGCCAAAGCUGGUGGUGAACAUUGAAGUCUCCAAAAAUGGAGAUCUCAGCAAAAGGGAAGUGAGUCAGAAUGUGCUCCACUUUGGAAUUUAAGUAGUCAAAGAAUUUCUUAUAGUCAGAGGAGUUAGGUGAGAGGUAUACUGGGUCUCCUCACAGACUUCAAGUCUGUUGGCUCCUCAUCACAUCCCAUCUGCAAUUUCCUGGUGUCAAUUGUGAGUAGAUAAACUCAUACUAACUAAGGCCUAGUAAACAGAUAUUUUUCCAUAACAAACUCUGCCACUGGUAGGCAAUUUUUUCCCAUAAUCACAUAUUUUUUUACACUUGAUUCUUAAAGGACAGAUUAACCUUCUAUUUUCUUGUUAUGUUCGUGUAGAUAGCAUUUUACAGUGCUUUAAAUGUUAAUAAAAGAUCAAGAUACUGUAGCCUUUCAUGAGGCAGUACAAUUUCCAGAACAUUGUUUUGUUUUGUUAACCUGCAGUACUGUAUCUUAGUUAUCUCUGAGGUAAUGAAAUAAUCAUAUAAUAUCUUUUAUAAUAAUAUUUUCUCAAUAAAGCUCAAAAAGAAAGUCAAUAACAUGAGGAAAUUAAUUAGCCUAACUGUGAUAACAUCUGCUGACUGGAGAAUUUUGAGUUUUCAUAAUGAAUGAACAGUAAUUUUAUAUAGAUAUUAAAUGACAAUACUUACCAUUUUUAUGGUAUAAUAAUUGAUGUUGAAUUAAAUGAUGAUAGCAUUGUCACUAGGGUUUGAUGUGUUUCUCAGGGUCUCUCAUACACCAUAAACAUUUUCCCAGUAGUUUAAAUGUGCCAUGUAGUGUGUUUUCAGAUUGCACAUGACCAUUCAUUCAUUGCCAGAAUACCCUAGUUAGGAUAUGUUUUAAAGCUCCUCAGAGGCAGCUUUAGACAUUUAUCUCCCAUAAAAUGUGAUUAUGGAUAAAACUGGAGAAGUUAAGAUAUUAAUUUUUGCAGAUGUGAAUCCAGAUUUGGAUUAUUUUUACCUUCAGGAAAUGAAGAAAAUACAAGAAAAUAUUUAUAAAUAUAAUAAUCAAAAUACACACACACAUGCACACAGGAGUGUGCAGGGCCCUGAUGGAGUAUCUAAUUGUGUGCUGAAGGAAUUCAGAGAUCAACUUGCCCACAAGGUUUACAAACUAAUCAUAUUUCAUUAAGGGAAGGAGCGGUGCCCAAAGAUUGGAAAAAAGCAGAUAUAGUCCCCAUAUAUAAGAAUGGAAGCAAAGAAAAAACAUCUAAUUAUAGACUGGUGUCAUUAACAAGUGUAGUGGCAGAAAUGUGGAAAAGAAUAGUGAAGCAAAGAUUGAGUGAAUAUCUGCAAAAGAGAGAGAUAUUAACAGACAGACAAUUUGGAUUUAGAAAAAGAAGGUUGUGUACAACAAAUUUAAUAUGUUUCUACUCCAGAGUCAUAGAUAAAGUACAAGAAAGAAGGGGAUGGACAGAUUGUGUUUAUUUGGACUUAAGGAGUGUUCAGUAAAGUUACCCACAAGAGACUGCUGUGGAAAUUAGAAAUACUUGGUGAGAGGUUCAUUCCUACAUUGGAUCAGUGACUUUCUGAGAGGAAGGGAAAUGAGAACAGUGGUCAAAGAUAGGAAGUUCAUCAUGGAGAGAGGUAAUUAGUGGUGUCCCACAGGGUUUGGUUUUAGCACCAGUUAUGUUUGCUAUCUAUAUGAACGAUAUGAUGGAAGGGAUGAAUAGCAACAUGAGUCUAUUUGCUGAUGAUGCAAAAUUGAUGAGAAAAGUGGAAAGGAUAGAGGACUGUGAUGCCCUACAGGAAGAUCUGAAUGUGAUUUGGGAUUGGAGUGGCACUUGAAAAAUGUAGUUUAACAUAAAAAAAUGUGGAGUGUUGAAGUUUGGGCAUAGUUGUGUAAGGUCAUUCUUUAGUUAUAAAUUGGGUAGUGAGGAAAUAAAAGUAGAGUGAAGAGAAAGACCUUGCAAUUACUGUCACUGAUAAGCUGUCCCCAGAGGUAUAUGUAAGAAGAAAGACAGGGGAAACAUGUAAUCUGGUGAGAAACAUGAGAGCAGCAUUCAACUAUCUGGAUGAAGAGGGUUGGCUGUGGCUCUCUGCUUUGGUUGUGGGUCAACUUCCAACUUGCAUUACCUGAAAGCUGUUGUUGUUGCUGCUGUACACUGUGUUACUGCCUCAGUGAGAUGGUUGACCUGUCCCUGCUGCAGAUCACUCUCUGCUAUGUGAGAAUCCUGAGAAUCCUGCAAUUUCAAAACUUCAGCAGCAUGGAUGAAAAUUUGUCCUAGAAUAUCUAGACUACAGCAUUAUGGAUGAAGAUUGAUUCUGAAGAAAGAUUGAAGAAGACUGGUUCUGAAGAUGGACUGUAGAGAAUUUGUAGACUUCAGCAGUAUGAUGAGGAUUUUGGGAGACUUUUUGGCAAGAACUUUUAUUAGAAAACAAAGGGGUUGUGGGAUUGGUAAACAAACAAAGGGUUGGUGGGGAAAAGAUUGAUGAUCUAAGAAAGAUAUGAGAAUAUGAUAUCUAAGAAAGAUAAUCAAUAUGAUUAUUAGAUAUAAGAAAGAUGAAAAAAAAAAUAUGAGAAAAAAAGUGAAAGAUUUAUGAUAGAUAUAAUAGAUAUUAGAUCUAUAAUAGAUUAGAUCAUGAAAAAAAAAUAUGAAAAAAAAAAUGAUUAUUAGAUAUGAGAAAAAAGGUGAAAGAUCUAUCUAUGAUAGAUAUAAUAGUUAUUAGAUCUAUCAUGAAAAAAAAAUCAUUAUGAAAAAAAGUGAUAUGAUUAUUAGAUAAGAUGAGAAAAAAGGUGAGAAUCUAUUAGAUAAGAUGAGAAAAAAGGUGAGAAUCUAUUAGAUAAGAUGAGAAAAAAGGUGAGAAUCUAUUAGAUAAGAUGAGAAAAAAGGUGAGAAAAAAGUGAAAGAUCUAUGAUAGAUAUAAUAGAUAUUAGAUCUAACAUGGGAAUUUGAAAAGAUAUAAUAGAUAUUAGAUCUAACAUGGGAAUUUGAAAAAAAAGUGAGAUUAUUAUAGAUGAUCUAAUAGAUCUUAGAUCAUUAUAGAUCUUAGUCUCUAGAUCUUAGAAAUAAUCUAAGAUAUUAGAUGAGAAAAUAAAAAAAAGUGAAAGAUCCUCAGAACAAAUAGAUAUUAGAUCUCUAAGAUAUUAGAUGAGAAGAUAAAAAAGUGAAAGAUCCU